rnacentral:lncRNA from 1 species
AUGCUGCCCCCUCCUCUGCUUCCUUUCUGCUGGAUGAGCAUGCUCCUCUGUGGUAUCUUAAUGUUUCCAUGUACUUGGACAUGCCAGAGGCCAAAAUAAUGAAGCAAGUAACUGUGGACCAACACUCUGAAAACACGAACCAACCUUUCCUUCCUUUGACUCGUUUCUCUCAAGUAUUGUCACAGCAGUGGAGAGCUGGCUAGCACUUCUCCCAUGGACGUAUUUCCAAGUGGGUAAAUCUACUGGCAUCUUGUUAAAAGAUGAUUGAGUGGCACUAGCAGCAUGAACCUAGGGUCCCUCUGAAUCCUGGACCCUCUGUGAUGCGUACACCCCUGGCCUAUGGCACCUGCCCAUCUCCCUGUUCAGCCCAGGCACUUUGUAGACAGAGUUUGGAACCUUGAGAAGAUGGCGAA